rnacentral:lncRNA from 1 species
UCCAUUGCUUAGCCAGAAAGGAAAGGAAGAGAAAAAGAGCCCCAUUUUCCUAUUCUUCUCCAAGUGCCCUAUUGCUCCUCUAUUUCCCUUGGUCUAGCCAUCCCCUGUCCAAACAAAAAUGAGCUCCAAGACCCAGGCGGUAUGAAAAUCUCUCUUCUAUUCUCUCUCUAUUUUGUUCCAAGUGGUUAUCCAUGUAUUUUUAUUGUUUGUUAUAGUGAUUAUUAGUUUUAUUUUUGAAAUGGAAUGCUUUUAUGUUUUGGAUUGUGGCUCGGUUUUGCUCUUUUUUAUAACUGCCUUCUCCGAUCUUUUAUUUUCCUUUUUGGGGAAAUCCACUCUAAUGGUUGUGCUAAAUGAAAUCUAUGAUAUUUUCUAGGAUUUUGCCGCCGCGCUAUUAUAUUAUUUUCUUAUAGACAUCAAUAAAUAAAUCCCAACCAUAGUUGAGCAAAGGAUAUAUGUGAAAAUAAAUGGUAGCAACUUGUUGCUAACCAAUGUAGUUGCUAGAAAAAAGGCAAAAAAGUUUAUGUGAGCCCUCUUCGCCCCGAGUACCUUAUCACUUCCUAGCUUAAGAAGCACUCCCUCUUGAGACCCUUGUGGGCAUCUUUUCCCUAGAAGACGACGUCCUUUGCGACAGUUUUGUUGAGGCUCUUAAGGAUAAUAAGUAUGAUCGGUGGUGCGGCCAACAAUAUUAGAGAGCUGGAGCCGUGUGGGGAGGCGGUGGUGGUGAGGAGCAAAACAAGGGAAGCCGUGUGUGGAGGUGUUGGCGAGGGGCAAAACAAGGAAAUGAAUUCGGAUGAGGAUAAAUAAAAUAAGGAAAGUAAGAAGGACAAAACAAGAUAAGGAUUUUGAUUUUAUUACAAUAAACCUAAUUUUUAAAAUCGGUAUUUUAUCCUUUUUUUAAAGCCAUAUUUGGAAGAACUUUUGGAAGAAUAAAAAGUGCUUUUUAAAGAAGAAAAGCACCAUCAGGAGAUAUAAAAGUGUUUGAUAAAAUAUUGAAAAGUACCUUAUGGUUUCCUAAAAAACUAAAGUCCUCUAUUUGAGAGAAGCUCUAUUUUAGAUUUUUUUUCUAAAAGCUCUACUUAGCUGAUGUUGAGAAGCUAUUUUUGGUUUAACAAAAAUUUAUAGUGACUAAAAUACCUAUAAACAAAUCACAUAAUUCAUAUAUAUUACAAUUAUUUAUAAUAUUAGAUGUAUUAUAUCAUAUCACAUCAUAUCAUAUUAUUAUACUAUACAAUAUCAUAUUACAAUAAUAUAUUACAUUAUAUUACACAAUAAUAAUGUUAUACUAUAUAAUAAUAUUUUAAUAUGUAAUAAUGCAUUACUAUGUUAUAUUAUAUUAUAUUAUGUUAUGCUAUGUCAUUAGUAUUCUAUUGUGUAAUAAUAUUUUAUAUCAUAUUAUAUUAUUAUGCCAUACUGUAUAUAAUAUUAUACUACAUUAUAAUGUUAUAUCACAUUGUAUUAUAUUAUAAUAAUAUUAUACUAUGAAAUAAUAUUUUAAUAUAUAAUAACUUGUAAUAUUAUAUUAUAUUAUAUUAUAUUAUACUAUAUUAUAUAAUACUGUGCAAUGUAUUUUAUUAUUAUUUUGUCAUACCAAAAGUAAUUUCCAAUUUAGUUCUCAAACAUAUAUUAAAGUUCUACGACAUUUUAGAAAUAUAGUUAUCAAACAACAAAUAUUUUUUUAUAAAAGCUUUACGGCCAAAAGUUCUACUACCAAAAACUAUAUUACCUAUGGCAAUCUCCAACAAGGUUAGUCUUCCAUUCACAACUUAUACCGUUUGUAGGUAGCAUAGCAUUUCCCUGUUUUAUGCAAUCCUGAUCAUUAUGAUGGAAAAGUUUUAUUCUUGCUUGUUAUUUCUAUAAUCCCUUUCUCUGUUGCUAUGUGAUUUCUGACUCUAUCAUAACUCUCUUUGAUGGAAAAACGAUUUAACCCUCAAUAUACUACAAUCGUAAUAUGUAGCGAACAGUGAGUUGAGAAUGUGGAUUAGAAUCCUGGAACUCUCUCGAUCACAACUAUCUUAUGUUUAACACUAACUCCUCUUUGGAUUUAGGCUCGACUAGUUUUAUGUCUCUUUAGAUCUUGGAUUUUCCUUAUAACCAUGUGUUUGACAUCCAGUAAGAGAUUGCAGUCACUAUUUGCGACCUAAACCAGUUCCCUUUUUUGAUAUGGCUAUAUUGUUUGUUUGAUUAUUUAUUUGUUUCCAAUCAGAACAUGUCUACUUCUUGCUGCAAGUCAUGAGUAAUGUUAUGUCCCUCCUUUGUUAAGUAACUCUUACAUUCUUUUGGAAAUCCAUGAAAGAAAGUUUGAAGAUACAUUAGCGAAGUAGGGGUGAUUCUGAAUCCAUUGUAGGUCAGAAUUUUCUCUCUUUUCUCUCUGUGUUGAUUUCAUGUCUUAGACUGUCUCUAAUUUACAGGAAUAGAGAUAGUUAUGGCGCCAUUUUUCAGUCCAGUCUACUCUUUUUUCAGUAACUAUUUUGGACACAGGAAUACUGAUUCAACAAGUAAUGAACCUUUUAAAUUGGACAAAACCGAAAUAAAGGGCUGUCAUUACCUCUGGCGAUGGACAUAUGUCUAAAUAAUAACAAAAAAUUACAUAUCACAUAUUAAUAGAUAUUUAAUAUCAAAAUAUAUUAUGGUAAUAUAUUACAUUAUGUAUCUUAUGGUAUUAUAUUAUAUCAUACUUACAUAUGAUGUCACAUUAUUGCAUUUAUAUUAUCAUAACUAUAUUAUAUGUGAUAUGUAUUCUGCUUGUAUAAUAUUAAUAAGUAUAUUAUAUUACACUCUGUCAAAUUAUUAUUUUAAUUAUAAUAUGAAAAUAUUGAUAAUAUUUUAAUAACAAUAUUAUAUAAACAUUACUACUAAGAAAAUAAACUGUGGCAUAACAUGUAGAUUGCGGCAUAUUGAUCAUCUAGGAUCAGGUUUUCUACUUGGGCAAGAUUUAUAAAUAUAUCUUGGUCACACCACUCUCUUGUCCAUAGAAAAGGAUAUGUGUCCUGAGUUUAUUAUUGUUUAUAUCUGUUACCAUCGGUAUCUGCCAUUUAAACCAUAUCUAUAUUGUGACAAGUUCAAAACAUCAGGUGUUGUCCUCUUCAGGUGGUUUCAUAAUUAAGCCUUGUCUAAGUGGCCAUAAACAUAUUACAUUCAACCUAUGUAAACAUGAUUAAAAUUGAGCAUGCACAACGUGAGACCUUUCUGUCGUGAGAAUGCUGUGGGAACUGAUAUCCAAUAUCAGUUAGCCUUGGCGUAUCUGAGAAGAGAGUCUCUCUUCCUCUGUUACAUUUUGGUAGAUAUUGGUCAAAUCUGUCCAAAUGUUCUAUCACAACUCAGAACUCACCCAAAGAAGCUAGCUGCACAGGUCCUUACAUACUUCCUCCAUUUAAGUCCUGACGUCCUCGUCAGACUAAGAGUUCAAAUCUAUUUCGAAUAUAAUCACAACCACCACGAUCGGCUCGUAGUCAACCUCUAUGAACCCAUGCUGCAGUGUCCUCUAGUCCACAUAGACUAUGGGCUAAGUUCGCUAUGAUAUCAAUGUCACAACCUAGAACCUCACCCAAAGAGACUAGCUGGAAAGUGUUAUUUGAGUUCUUCGAUCCUGUAAAAGUACCUAAGAUCUAUCCAACGAAUGAUUGAUUUGGGAUUGAACACAUGUCCGCACGGACCUUACAUGUUACUUAAAAAAAAAAGAGUAAAAUUUUUAAUAAGAAUUAGUGCGUCGAUUUCCACUAGUUGCUUUCAGCCAACAUAUUUGGCGAAUAUUUUUAGCUAUUCAUCAUUGAAAGCCUUUCUUAUCCUCUGCAAUGACGCCAUUUUGCUUGCGCAGGAUAAAACCUGCGAAACGUGUGGAUCCAACAAAUUUGACCAAGAUAUCGUGACUUGUUCCGGAUGUCGCAGAGCUUCACAACAUACGUAUACUCCCUUUGUAUUCUUUCAAGUGUGCUUGCAAUGCAUGAGACCAGCUUAAGGAAGACAAAAUUUUGCAUUUCUUUGUGCUAAUAUGGGGCAGAUUUCUAAUGCUUAUAAUGAAAUCUCAGGAGUGGCUGGGUAGAACAGUGAAAUUAGGCAAUGACAGCUGUCUGCUUCAUUUGCAGAAAACUACGAUGUCUUAAAAAUUUACAGGCUUAAUAAUGUACCUCCCUUUUUUAAAAAGAAAGAGAGGCUUAAUCAUGUAUGUACCUCCUAGUAGAG